UGCUGCAGUUUGCCAGAUCUGAGCUACAAGCCAGCCACAUGCAAGCCAAGAGCAAACCACUUCAUCUAGAACUGGGCAAAGAAAAUGAAAUGUGACCCAGAUGUGGGCCAGUUCUGCUACUGGCUCAAGUGCACCAUUUCCUCCUCUUCCCUGUUUGAAUUGUGCCAUUUAUCACAAAUAUGAUGUUUGUCAAUUUAAGUGAUAAUUUUGCAGUUCAGGAACGUAACAGUUUGUUGAAAUGGGUGUAAAAUAACAUUUAGUUUUGUGUAAAUGUGACGAUUCACUGUUAUGGUUAAAAGGGGGACCCCACAAUUUCUUUGUUUACAACUGUUAAUUUCAUGUUCUGCAGGGAAGAGGUGAAGUGACAUGUUUAUCUGAUGUGUUGAAUGCUGUACAUGGUUGCGUGCAGUUCUCUGUUGUAGCCACCAGGUUGCACCAGAGAGCACGGGUCGGAGAGAACCGACGAAGAAGAGGUGUUUUUGCUCGGGUUGCCAUGGUUACGCGGCUCGGCGCGAAAAAGACCGGAGAAGCAGCGGCGAGGUCUUGCUUUGGUGACCUGGACAAGUUAAUGUGCUUGGUGACUGUAAUUGUUUUUGGUAAAGAAUAAAGUCAGCGUCAUUGAAGACUCAAGCCCUGGUGUCCGCUGUCUUCAUAGCUGCAACAUAAAAGCUGCUCAGUAAACUGCAUCAGUUUAGACCCGGAGUCCAGACAGCUGGGUAUUGUUUGGGGACCUGAAAUGUACACAAGAUAGGGUGUUUAUAUAUAGCUCCCACAGCAACACAACUGCAUGGAGAAGGAGGACGAGGAAGUUCUCACUGACCAGCAGUUCUGUAUCCAGGAGAGGAACUCAAGUCUGGACCAAGAGGACCCAGAUUUCCCACAGAUUUAAGAGGAACAUGAGGAACUCUGCGCCAGUCUGGAGGAGCAGCAGCAUAUAUUGAAGCUAGAGACUGACACCAUCAUGUUGACUCCUUCUUAUGAGGAGAGUGACCACAAUGAGCCUGAACCAGAAGGAGACCACCAGCUCUUCUUUGAGAACCGACAUGUAGCUGAGAGCUGGGAUCAGAAAAUGGGCGGAUAAAUACAGAACCAGUACCAGAGGAAAUCACAUCCCAGAAGCAGAAGACAGAGUAUCGAUGUACCCAAAUCAAAUUAGUCACAGAGUGACCAUGAUAUGCACACAGGUGAAAAGAAGCAAUAUUCUUGCGAAGCAUGUGGAAAAGCAUUCAAGUAUAAGUCGUCCCGAUUACAUAUGCACAUGAAAAAACACACAGAUGAGAUGCCGUAUUCAUGCACAACAUGUGGUCAAGGUUUCAGUUUUAGCAGUUCCCUUAUAGUCCACAUGAUAAUUCACACAGGUGAGAAGCCGUUUGUUUGCAAAACAUGUGGGAGAGGUUUCACACGAGAAGAGCCAAUACUGGUGAGAAGCCGUCUGUUUGCAAGAUCUGCGGCAUGAGAUACUUUGAGAAAAGUGUGUUGACACGGCACAGUCUAAUACAUGAGAGCAAACCUACAGGACAGGGGAGGAAGUAUUGGUACGGCACAGUCUAAUACAUGGGAUUAAACAGAUGGGGGAGGAACCAUCAUGCUGAAUACUCCAGUGGAGACCUUUUUCUUCUCCUGUUCACGUUGGAUACACUGACGAUGUUCUGACUGAUUGACUUGUGGAGAAAUGAACUAAAGUUUCUUAAUAUAUUUUGUUGGUUAGAUUUCUGUACUCUGAACAUUUUGAAUGUACCAUGAAUUACACUGCAAUGUCUCUAUUUAAGUAACUUCCUUUAUUGUAAUCCUUCCUUCUUUGUUUUUUUGAAUGCUCAUUUGUGAAGUUACAAAAAAAAAAUCAUGUUUAUAAGUUACAAAUGCACUCGAAGUAGCUGUAAGACAAUACUGUUGUCAUAUCAUUACUAAUUAUUUAAUUCUUAAUUAAUUCUCAUUGAUUCUUAAUGUCGUUGUUGUUGUUGUAGCAUCUGUUGCUCUCUGUUAGCAGUGCAGACCCUCAAGAAUAUUCACAAAGUCACAUCCUUUGGAUUGUUGCAGAAAAUCCACCCCGAGUGUGAAACAAAUCAUCCACAAGCUUGUACAGGCAACUGAGAGAGACGCAAAAGGUCUGAUUUACAACAGUCACAUGGUCAUUAAUAAAGUGAUUUAUAAGCAGAGCAGCUUCAAUAGCAAUGUCCUCAGUUGGUUAUUUGAGAGAGUUUGUCAGUGAGUGAUCAACUACUGCUGCUGCUGGAGAAAUAGCUCUUAAAACUUCAAUGGUCACAGAAUUAUGAUUCAUAUAUGAUCACAUGAGAAAUACUUGGAUUAAUCUGCUCAGAUGUCUGUCAUCAUCACACAGGAAAGCUAUUUCUUAGGUACUUUGUCUCUCCAGUAUGGAAGAGGAAUGAGUGAGGUUGAGUCUUUUGUUGAGUUUGUUUGUUUUGUUUUUUUUUACCCGAUUCUGAACAAAGUCAGAACCCAGUCUCCCAAUGUUCUUGGAUUUCUGAUGAUGACUAAAGAGGCACAAUUUAGUAAAUGAAUUAAAACUUAGUCUACAAUAUGAUUGUCCAAUAAUACAACAGAAACCAGAAAACACUCCCAUUUAUGAAGCUGGAAUAAGAAGUUUGACUUUUCAAAAUUACUGUGUUAUAAAUCGAUUAUGGAAAUAGUUGAUUCAUUUCAUCUUUCCCAGCUAAUGAAUUAAUUCUAUCAAAAUACUGCAGCUCUAAAAGUGAUGUAGCCAUCAAAGAAAUGUAGUGCAAUAAAAAUGUACAUUUUACAUUGACAUAUAUACACACAUUAACACUGGUCCUGGGGUGUUUCAAGUGUGUGAAUCAAGUGGCAGUUAUUCAAGUGCUGGAAUUGUUAAGUGGCUCCUCACUUUUGGGAGUUUUGAACUUAUCUGACACUAGAACUACAGACAAGAACCAUAAGACGCUGGGCUUUUGAAAAGAUGAACUUUUAUGACAUUUUAAAGGCUCUCAUGCACACACACACUAUCGGUCUUUCACACCACAAUGUUAGAAUUAUAGCCACCACUGUGCGCUCAGUGUAAAUAAGAUACCACAAAUAUAGAACUUACACCUUUUUACUGAAUCUAAACCUCCACAUGUUUUGGCAGAAUAUCAACCUACAUGCUUGUAGCCACAGAAGCUUUCCCACAUUUUAAGGAGUUUUUUUCCUGCACAGUAUUACAGAGAAUAUUCAACUUAGUAGAGAAAUAUAUAUAUAGUGUGGCUCGGGUGGGCAUGGAACGAUAUGAACAUUUCUUGUGACAAUUAUCCUCUCCAGCCCUCACAAUAUUAUCACAACAACUGAACCUAAUAAUGCAAAACAAACAAACAAUAAAAAUAAACUGCACUAAAAUAUAGUGGAAUAACUUCACAUUUAGUUAGAAAACAUUUUUAUUCACUCACACAAAACAAUCUUUUCUCUCUAAGGUUGAAAACAAUCAAAGAAUGGUGAAUGGUGGUAUCCUCCUCUUCUCCAUGUUGUUUUUUGUCAUUUGGAAUCCGUUAUAUUUCCACACAUCCACGGAUUUAACUUGUUUUGUUUUUUUUUUGUGGGGGAUGCAAAGAGCAAGUCGAGCCCUCAGCCACUGUGACGGGAUCAGGCAAUUCAAAAUAAAUCUGGAAACCAAUACAGGACUGUAAUUCAGCAGGCCAGAAAGAUUUUCUUCAGUCAUACAUGUCGGGAUAUAUAUGACCAUCUUGAUUCAGGAUUAACCCUGGUGAUAAAAAUGAUCGAUGAUCAACUAAUUGCGAAGUGCUUUUUUUCCCUAAAAGGACUGCAGACGUGUAGCUCCUCAGAUCUAGUGUAUUUUUUUUUUUUUUUUUUU